CCAAAAAAUCAUCUCAUUUAACUUCAAAUCCUCUCAUUUGCAACCCUAAUCAGAAAAUCCAACUAUCCACUGAACACCUAAAAUCAAGAAAACAAUUCUUCUGCAAACCCUCAUCGGAAAACUAGGUCUAUCUGAAACCCUCAAAAGAUUGCUCAUUAAUGAAAACAAAUCUUACAGCAAUGGGAAAGAAUAAGAAGUCAACAGUAAAGAAUAAUGUCAAGCAGUUUCCAAUCAAG